AUUGAACGCUGGCGGCAGGCUUAACACAUGCAAGUCGAGCGGGGUGAUGGUGCUUGCACUAUCACUUAGCGGCGGACGGGUGAGUAAUGCUUAGGAAUCUGCCUAUUAGUGGGGGACAACAUCUCGAAAGGGAUGCUAAUACCGCAUACGUCCUACGGGAGAAAGCAGGGGAUCACUUGUGACCUUGCGCUAAUAGAUGAGCCUAAGUCGGAUUAGCUAGUUGGUGGGGUAAAGGCCUACCAAGGGGACGAUCUGUAGCGGGUCUGAGAGGAUGAUCCGCCACACUGGGACUGAGAAACGGCCCAGACUCCUACGGGAGGCAGCAGUGGGGAAUAUUGGACAAUGGGGGGAACCCUGAUCCAGCCAUGCCGCGUGUGUGAAGAAGGCCUUAUGGUUGUAAAGCACUUUAAGCGAGGAGGAGGCUCUUUUGGUUAAUACCCAGAAUGAGUGGACGUUACUCGCAGAAUAAGCACCGGCUAACUCUGUGCCAGCAGCCGCCGUAA
rnacentral:rRNA from 1 species